AAAGAGACUUUGGGUAGGCUGGCUACAGGCCAGGUUGUGGGUAGUGAUCUCAUUGUGGGGGCUGCGCUGGUUUGCAUUUUUCAGGAGGCUCUUGUGUCCUCUGGCAAGAAUCCCUGAACAUGGCUUGGACUCCAGUGUGGGCCCUCUAGUGCUCCCAGGUGAGGCUUGAUUUCCCUUUGCUUUCAUGUGAAGUUCUUAGUGCGCCUCCACAACACUCCUGGACACCUUUUUAGGCUUGCAAUCCCCCCAGAUGGACACUGAGACACUCUCAACCUCACAUGCCCCUGUGAGAAUCCAGAUCCAGGUGUGAGUCCUCUGCUGUGCCUUGGACUUGCCUUUGGGGUGUUUCCUGCUUUUCCCAGACAGCCAUACUGAGAAGGAGCAGCAGGAAUAUACUGAUAAAUACUCAACAUAUAAAGUUGGUGAGUUGCAAUUAUGUCUGUGAUAUUUCCAAUAACCAUGGUGAAAGGAAGACACUGUAUUUUAAAUGUAGACAAACUGAUUUCUCUGGAGUCGGAAAAACUGAAAGACUUCUUGGAUAACAUCAUUUUUGCUCACAACAUAAUGACAUAUAGUAAACAAACUUCCAUGAAUAGCCCUACAUUAAUUGUGGCAUAUUGCCUUAAAAUGUUUCUCAGUCAGAGUAGAGGAGUUCAGGACCUGGUUUAAAUAGUCAAUUAUCUGAUGGCAUCAACCUUUGUUUUGAUCCAGUCAGUUGGAAACACUAUUUCUGUAGGAUCUAUGAUGGGACACUUCAGAUCCCAUUGAGGACUGUAGUGAAAAAACUAAUAUCCCAUGAUAAAAACUAGAAACAAGCUACCUGUGAAAGUGCUUUGCAAUGUGUGGAUUCAUCUGACAGAGUUAAAACUUUGUUUUGAUUGAGCUAGUUAGAAAUACUCUUUUUGUAGAAUCUAUGAAGGGAUAUUUCAAAGACCAUUGAGGCCUAUAGUGAAAAAGCAACUAUCCCACGAUAAAAACUAGAAACAAGCUAUCUGUAAAAACACCUUGCGAUGUGUGGAUUCAGUUCACAGAGCUAAACCUUUUUUUUGGUUCAGCCAGUUGGAAACACAUUUUUGUAGAAUCUAUGAAGGAUUAUUUCAGAAUCCAUUGAACUCUAUAGUGAAAAACCAAAUAUCCUGGGAUAAAAACUAGAAAGAAGAUCUUUGUGAUGCAUGGAUUCAUUUCUCAGAGUUAAACCUUUGUUUUUAUUCAGCCUGUUGGAAACAUCCUUUUUAUUGAAUCUAAGAAAGAACAUUUCAAAGCCCAUUGAUGCCAGUAGUGAAAAAUUGAAUAUCCCACAAUAAAAAAUUGAAACAAGA
rnacentral:lncRNA from 10 species